rnacentral:rRNA from 1 species
GACAGAGGGUGCAAACGUUGUUCGGAUUUACUGGGCGUAAAGCGCGUGUAGGCGGCUUGGCAAGUCGGAUGUGAAAGCCCACGGCUCAACCAUGGAAGCGCAUCCGAAACUGCUUCGCUCGAGUCUCGGAGAGGAAGGUGGAAUGCUUGGUGUAGAGGUGAAAUUCGUAGAUAUCAAGCAGAACACCUGCGGCGAAGGCGGCCUUCUGGACGAUGACUGACGCUGAGACGCGAAAGCGUGGGGAGCAAACAGG